UGAAAGAUAACUCAGUGGUAGAGUGCUUGCCUUGCAUGCAUGAGGCCCUGGGUUCAAUCAGUUCCUCAG
rnacentral:tRNA from 1 species